AUAAAAAGGGUUAAAAUUUAAAUUUUAUUUGUUUUUCAUAAUUAAUUUGAAAAGUAUUGGCGGUAUUAAGGAUAAAUUCUGAGGAACUUGUUUAUUUAAAUUGAUAGUACACAUUAAAUUUUAUCUAUAAUUUUUUUUAUGUAUUGCUGUUUAAUUUAUUAUUUAUUAUGUUUAAUAAAUUUGAAAGAUAUUUUUGAUAUAAAGAUUUCAAGUCAAAAUGUAGAUUUUUAUAGGGUUAAAUGAGUUACGUUUAUAUUGAAAUAUGAAACUGUAAAGUAAAUUGAAAUAUUUUAUGAAAUGAAUGUUGGAUUAGGAUGUAAAAAUAAAUUAGUUAGUUUUUUUGAUAAGAUUAUUCCUAUAUGU
rnacentral:rRNA from 1 species